rnacentral:precursor_RNA from 13 species
AGACCCCCCCUCCCCACGAGUCCCUCUCUGCGUGUUCACAGCGGACCUUGAUUUAAUGUCUAUACAAUUAAGGCACGCGGUGAAUGCCAAGAGAGGCGCCUCCGCCGCUUCUUUCUCAU